AAGCAUGUUUAUGAUCUAAGGCAAUUAAUCUUAACAGGAGAUGAUGAAAGUUGUUCCCAACAUAUAUUCCAGUACAUGCAAGCAGUGGUGGAUGAGAUUGUCUUCAGUAAUAUUGAUCCACUGAAGCAUCCACGUAGCUGGGGUUUGAGUAAGCUCUUGAAAGAGUUUGUGACUGUUGGUGGAAAGUUGUUGCGUGCACCUCCAAAUGCCUUCAGGGGAAUUCGCAGGAAGAGUUCUUCAUUAAGAUGAUGGCUUGCUAUUUGCACUAAUGAUUUAAUUGGGAAUGGGAAGUACCAAACAACUUCUAAUCUUCUGCGCAAGUAUCUUGGAGAUUUUCUAAUUGCUUCAUAUUUAAAUGUUGUUGAAGAGUCUGGUUAUGAUGAGAGACAUACAAAGGAAAUUGAGAGAGUUGUUCUUUUGCAAACUCUUGAUUGUUUCUGGAGAGAUCAUCUUGUAAACAUGAAUAGGCUCAGCUCUGCGGUGAACAUUAGGAGCUUUGGCCAUAGAAAUCCUCUUGAAGAGUAUCAAAUUGAUGGUUGUCGAUUUUUUAUCUCAAUGUUGAGUGCAACUAGAAGGUUAACUGUAGAAGCACUGUUGCGGUAUUGGACAUCUCCAAUGGAAUCCCAAGAACUAUUUUUAUCAUGAAAGUAGAUAAUUCAAGAAAAUUCUGCAAGACCUAUUUGUUUUGCACAAUGUUAUUGGUGUUUCAACUAGUCAAUUGGUCUCGUGUGUUGUGCAUUACCUCUUUGCUUUAAAGUAUUUCUUGCUACAUAAUAUUAAGUGAAUGCCAGUUUAGUUUCAAUUUUAUAAAUUAUAAACGGUAUUUUGUGGUACCCGUUUAUUUUUUGGUUUGUAUUUUUUGGAAUUGGACGGUCAUUGGUGUGUUGUAUAUCUGCAGGGAGCUUCUACUUGAUUUCUAUACAAGUUCUGGAAAUAGAAAGCCUGAUAAUAUAAUCAUAUUCAGGUUACUUUUUUUCUCAUUUUAUUCUUGAACAGGCCAAGAGGACAUUAAAAAACCUGAGGAUUAAAUCGAGCCCAUCUAAUCAAGAAUUCAAAAUCACUGGGCUUAGUGAACUCCCUUGCAAAGAUCAAAUGUUUACAUUGAAGAAAAAAGGUGGUGAUGAUGACACUGAGGAAGAAGUGACAGUAUAUGAUUAUUUUGUUAAUAUCCGCAAGAUAGAUCUUCGAUAUUCUGGGGAUCUCCCAUGUAUCAACGUUGGGAAACCAAAAAGGCCAACUUACAUUCCUCUUGAGGUAGAUUUGGUGCUUUAUAUUUUUGUUCAGGACUUUCAGUGUAAAAUAUUUUAAGUGGCAAUGGCAAUGGGAAUGGGAAUGCCACCUUUCACUCUUUGGAUGGACCUCAGGUUGUGGAACACAUUUCUAAG